UUAGAUAUUUUAAAUACAAAAAAUAUUCGCCAGAGAAUUACGAGCUAAACAUGCUUAAAACUCUAAGGACUUGGCGGUACCUCAAACCCACCUAGAGGAGCCUGUUCUAUAAUCGACAAUCCACGAUUCACCUCACCAUCUCUUGCCAACUCCGCCUAUAUACCGCCGUCACAGCUUACCUUAUGAAAGAUAAAAAGUAAGCAAAAUAAUCUAAAUAAUUAACAAAUCAGGUCAAGGUGUAGCUUACUGAGAUGGAAGAAAUGGGCUACAUUUUCUAUACUAGAAAUAACUACGGAAAGAUACCUUGAAACAGGUUCUAUAAGCAGGAUUUAGCAGUAAACUGGGAAAAGAGAGCCCAA
rnacentral:rRNA from 1 species